GACGUACCACCCGAACGUUAUUCGGAUUCACUGGGCUUACAGAGUCCGUAGGCGGUCAAGAAAGUUAGGCGUGAAAUCCCUCAGCUCAACUGAGGAAUAGCGCUUAAAACUACUUGGCUAGAGAGAGUCAGAGGUGAGCGGAACUGAUGGUGGAGCGGUGAAAUGCGUAGAUAUCAUCUGGAACGCCAAUGGUGCAGACAGGCUGCUGGGAAUGAACUGACGCUGAGGCACGAAAGCCAGGGGAGCGAACGGG
rnacentral:rRNA from 1 species